UACGAAGGGGGCUAGCGUUGUUCGGAAUUACUGGGCGUAAAGCGCACGUAGGCGGAUCUUUAAGUCAGGGGUGAAAUCCUGGAGCUCAACUCCAGAACUGCCCUUGAUACUGGGGAUCUUGAGUCCGGAAGAGGUGAGUGGAACUCCGAGUGUAGAGGUGAAAAUUCGUAGAUAUUCGGAAGAACACCAGUGGCGAAGGCGGCUCACUGGUCCGGUACUGACGCUGAGGUGCGAAAGCGUGGGGAGCAAACAGGGAU
rnacentral:rRNA from 1 species